rnacentral:rRNA from 1 species
GACGAACGCUGGCGGCGUGCCUAAUACAUGCAAGUAGAACGCUGAAGCUUGGUGCUUGCACCGAGCGGAUGAGUUGCGAACGGGUGAGUAACGCGUAGGUAACCUGCCUCUUAGCGGGGGAUAACUAUUGGAAACGAUAGCUAAUACCGCAUAAAAGUCGACAUCGCAUGAUGUUGACUUGAAAGGUGCAAUUGCAUCACUAAGAGAUGGACCUGCGUUGUAUUAGCUAGUUGGUGAGGUAACGGCUCACCAAGGCGACGAUACAUAGCCGACCUGAGAGGGUGAUCGGCCACACUGGGACUGAGACACGGCCCAGACUCCUACGGGAGGCAGCAGUAGGGAAUCUUCGGCAAUGGGGGCAACCCUGACCGAGCAACGCCGCGUGAGUGAAGAAGGUUUUCGGAUCGUAAAGCUCUGUUGUAAGAGAAGAACGAGUGUGAGAGUGGAAAGUUCACACUGUGACGGUAACUUACCAGAAAGGGACGGCUAA